rnacentral:rRNA from 1 species
GAUGAACGCUGACAGAAUGCUUAACACAUGCAAGUCUUUGGCGAAUCUGUGCUUGCACCGGCUAGCCAAGGCGGACGGGUGAGUAACGCGUAAAGAACUUGCCCUGCAGACAGGGAUAACAGACGGAAACGACUGAUAACACCUGAUACAGUUGCCGGCACGCAUGUGCCUGGCAAUGAAAAGAGAUGCUGCAGGAGAGCUUUGCGUCCUAUUAUCUUGUUGGUGAGGUGACGGCUCACCAAGGCGAUGAUAGGUAGCCGGCCUGAGAGGGUGAACGGCCACAAGGGGACUGAGAUACGGCCCUUACUCCUACGGGAGGCAGCAGUGGGGAAUAUUGGACAAUGGGGGCAACCCUGAUCCAGCAAUUCUGUGUGCACGAAGAAGGUUUUCGGAUUGUAAAGUGCUUUCAGCAGGGAAGAAGAAAGUGACGGUACCUGCAGAAGAAGCGACGGCUAAAUACGUG